UAGUCCACGCCGUAAACGAUGAGUACUAGUUAUUGGAGGUAUUGACUCCUUCAGUAACGCAGCUAACGCAUUAAGCACACCGCCUGGGGAGUACGGUCGCAAGAUUAAAACUCAAAGGAAUUGACGGGGACCCGCACAAGCGGUGGAGCAUGUUGUUUAAUUCGAAGCAACGCGAAGAACCUUACCUACACUUGACAUACUCGUCGGGAAUUGCAGAGAUGCUUUUCUUCGGUUCGGCCGGACGAUGUACAGGUGCUGCACGGCUGUCGUCAGCUCGUGUCGUGAGAUGUUUGGUUAAGUCCAGCAACGAGCGCAACCCCUAUCGUAUGUUACCAGCAUUUAGUUGGGGACUCAUGCGAGACUGCCGGUGUUAAGCCGGAGGAAGGUGGGGACGACGUCAAGUCAUCAUGGCCCUUACGUGUAGGGCUACAAACGUGCUACAAUGGCUACUACAGUGGGCAGCGAGGUCGCGAGGCCAAGCUAAUCCCCAAAAGUAGUCUCAGUUCGGAUAGGA
rnacentral:rRNA from 1 species